AAAUUGAAGAGUUUGAUCAUGGCUCAGAUUGAACGCUGGCGGCAGGCCUAACACAUGCAAGUCGAACGGUAACAGGAAGCAGCUUGCUGCUUUGCUGACGAGUGGCGGACGGGUGAGUAAUGUCUGGGAAACUGCCUGAUGGAGGGGGAUAACUACUGGAAACGGUGGCUAAUACCGCAUAACGUCGCAAGACCAAAGAGGGGGACCUUCGGGCCUCUUGCCAUCAGAUGUGCCCAGAUGGGAUUAGCUAGUUGGUGAGGUAACGGCUCACCAAGGCGACGAUCCCUAGCUGGUCUGAGAGGAUGACCAGCCACACUGGAACUGAGACACGGUCCAGACUCCUACGGGAGGCAGCAGUGGGGAAUAUUGCACAAUGGGCGCAAGCCUGAUGCAGCCAUGCCGCGUGUAUGAAGAAGGCCUUCGGGUUGUAAAGUACUUUCAGCGGGGAGGAAGGUGUUGUGGUUAAUAACCGCAGCAAUUGACGUUACCCGCAGAAGAAGCACCGGCUAACUCCGUGCCAGCAGCCGCGGUAAUACGGAGGGUGCAAGCGUUAAUCGGAAUUACUGGGCGUAAAGCGCACGCAGGCGGUCUGUCAAGUCGGAUGUGAAAUCCCCGGGCUCAACCUGGGAACUGCAUUCGAAACUGGCAGGCUUGAGUCUUGUAGAGGGGGGUAGAAUUCCAGGUGUAGCGGUGAAAUGCGUAGAGAUCUGGAGGAAUACCGGUGGCGAAGGCGGCCCCCUGGACAAAGACUGACGCUCAGGUGCGAAAGCGUGGGGAGCAAACAGGAUUAGAUACCCUGGUAGUCCACGCCGUAAACGAUGUCUACUUGGAGGUUGUGCCCUUGAGGCGUGGCUUCCGGAGCUAACGCGUUAAGUAGACCGCCUGGGGAGUACGGCCGCAAGGUUAAAACUCAAAUGAAUUGACGGGGGCCCGCACAAGCGGUGGAGCAUGUGGUUUAAUUCGAUGCAACGCGAAGAACCUUACCUGGUCUUGACAUCCACAGAAGAAUCCAGAGAUGGAUUUGUGCCUUCGGGAACUGUGAGACAGGUGCUGCAUGGCUGUCGUCAGCUCGUGUUGUGAAAUGUUGGGUUAAGUCCCGCAACGAGCGCAACCCUUAUCCUUUGUUGCCAGCGGUCCGG
rnacentral:rRNA from 1 species